ACGGGAAAUUUUAUCUUCUCAUAACACAGAUGUAUUUGGUAAAGUUUCUGGCCGAUGUAUCUUUUAUUUAUUGACAAAAUUCACAUGUAUGUACGGGGCACAAUCGAUGGAGUACAAUGUGAUCCCCGUAAACACUGCAACACAAAGAAGUCAAGCUCAGGCCCCAAUCCACAACCCCCCACCAACAAUGACGUUUCCAUGGCAACAACGCUUCCUCCCUGAGCACAGCUCAAGCGCACGUCGCUGUCAACGAUGGCCACCACGCUGCCCGGCAGAUCCCAGAACUCGAUCCAGGUGGCCGCCUGUCGUCCAGGAGACGACACUCCUGCACUCAGCCCCAGGGGGAAGAAGGAGGCACCCUCCCAUCGGUGGUCCUAGGCUCAGGAUCCAGGGAUGCCGUGCCCAGAGCAGUGCCUGGCCAGUGUGACCUCCCACUGCUCACAGGGAUUAUUCUGGGAUGGAGCGCGCGCUUCUCAAGAGCAGUAGCUGCCUGGCACCCACCUCCCUGCCGAGGCGUCAGCUUGUCAUCAUCGCAGCCCAGGGAGCCAGGGCUCUCCACCGUAAUGACUAAAUGCUGCCACUGGUCCAACUUGGCGUCUGCCGGCUCUCAGCUCCAGUGCUACCUCCCUGUCCCAGCAGGAGCUCUGUGGUUUUACAGCGGCCAGGACCCCGAGGGCAGGGUUCUGAGCCGCCAGCAGCUCCACAGAAGCAGGAGUUUGCACAGAGAGACACACGCAGGAGAAGGCCAUGGGACAACGGAGCAGAGAUGGGACGGGCGCAUCUACAGCCAGUGCAGGCCACACACUGCCAGGAACGGAUGGAGGAAGAACCCAGCCCCAGGGCCCUCAGGGAGAGCGGGCCCUGCCAGCUCCCCAAUUCAGAACCUCCAGGCUCCAGAACAGCGAGGGGUAAGUUCCCGCAGGUUUAAGUCUCCUGCUUGGUGUUCAUUCGCUAUGGCAGCUAACGGGGCAGCGCCGCCUCCUGGCUCGGAGGCUGCCAGUGACGCACACUGUCCA